AGAUGCCAAGCUCAGGCUUAGUGGAGCCUGACUGAAGUCUAGUGAAGGAGAGAAUCUUUACCACUGCAAAGAUGUAUGAUUCUUGUUUUAAUUGGGUAGGGUAGGUACGUAUUGUAACAAGCUCUCCUACCCCCGAAUGUCAGUGUUUAAGUUGCAUCUUUGACUAUAAGUGGAUGCUAUGGUUUGAAUGAUUGUCUCCUCCAAAACUCAUGCUGAAAUUUAAUUACCAUUUUAACAGUGUUAAGAUGUGGGACUUUUAAGAGUGAUUAGAUCAUGAGGCCUCUGCCCUCAUCAAUUAAUCAAUGCCAUUACUGGGGGAGUGGGUUUACUCCCUCUCACUCUCUGUCUCUCUCGUGCCCUCUCUCUGCCCUUUGUCCAUGUGAUGAUGCAGCAAGAAGGCCCUUGGCAGAUGCUGUCAUCGUGAUACAGGACUUCCCCGCCUCCAGAACGAGGCAGCGAACGCAGCUGUGAGAUCUCGAGGGUAAACAGCCCAUACUCUACAGUGCACUGUGUUGUCAGGUGAGUAUGCCCUACUGCAGGCUAGUGUAAGACUUCUGCGCAUGUUUAAGGUAGGUUAAGCUAAGCUAUGAUAUUCCGUAGUUAGGUGCAUGAAAUACAUUUUCAGUUUAGGACAGGUUUACUGUAUUGUAACUUCACUGUAAGUGGAG
rnacentral:lncRNA from 1 species